GAUGAACGCUGGCGGCGUGCCUAAUACAUGCAAGUCGAGCGAACAGACGAGGAGCUUGCUCCUCUGACGUUAGCGGCGGACGGGUGAGUAACACGUGGAUAACCUAUCUAUAAGACUGGGAUAACUUCGGGAAACCGGAGCUAAUACCGGAUAAUAUAUUGAACCGCAUGGUUCAAUAGUGAAAGAUGGUUUUGCUGUCACUUAUAGAUGGAUCCGCGCCGCAUUAGCUAGUUGGUAAGGUAACGGCUUACCAAGGCAACGAUGCGUAGCCGACCUGAGAGGGUGAUCGGCCACACUGGAACUGAGACACGGUCCAGACUCCUACGGGAGGCAGCAGUAGGGAAUCUUCCGCAAUGGGCGAAAGCCUGACGGAGCAACGCCGCGUGAGUGAUGAAGGUCUUCGGAUCGUAAAACUCUGUUAUUAGGGAAGAACAAAUGUGUAAGUAACUAUGCACGUCUUGACGGUACCUAAUCAGAAAGCCACGGCUAACUACGUG
rnacentral:rRNA from 1 species